rnacentral:rRNA from 1 species
GACGAACGCUGGCGGCAUGCCUAAUACAUGCAAGUCGAGCGAACAGAUGAAGUGCUUGCACUUCUGACGUUAGCGGCGAACGGGUGAGUAACACGUAAGGAAUCUACCUAUAAGCGGGGGAUAACAUUCGGAAACGGGUGCUAAUACCGCAUAAUAUCUUCUUCCGCAUGGAAGAAGAUUGAAAGACGGCUCUGCUGUCACUUAUAGAUGACCUUGCGGUGCAUUAGUUAGUUGGUGGGGUAACGGCCUACCAAGACGAUGAUGCAUAGCCGACCUGAGAGGGUGAUCGGCCGCAUUGGGACUGAGACACGGCCCAAACCCCUACGGGAGGCAGCAGUAGGGAAUCUUCCGCAAUGGGCGAAAGCCUGACGGAGCAAUGCCGCGUGAGUGAAGAAGGCCUUCGGGUCGUAAAACUCUGUUAUAAGAGAAGAACGAAUUGUAGAGUAACUGCUACAGUCUUGACGGUAUCUUAUCAGAAAGCCACGGCUAACUACGUGCCAGCAGCCGCCGUAA